rnacentral:lncRNA from 1 species
CCCAACCUGUGGUCAUAAUAGGAACGACUAAGGACAAGCUGACCCUUCAAGCCACUUGAAAUGCUAGCAGUUAAUGGCAGAAUGUUAUGGAUAAUUAGACACACAACGCAUGUGCAGCUUUCUAAAAAAUACAGGGUUUCCACUGGCUGUCAGUCUUUCCUUUAGCCAGGGAACCACCAGUGUACCGUGCACUGUUAAGUGAAAGCCGGCAGCCGAGUUAAAUUCUAAUUAAAUGUUACCAUUGUUAUUUGAAAAAUAACAGCUUACUAUUGGUGUCAAAUUGACUGUUAUCAGUAGAUGGAAUUAGAGCAUUUUGUCAUUCUAGGGUUGUCUAAUACAUGUGACUAACGCUGCUCAGGAGGCCUUGCUUGACUUCAGCUAAGGUUGAAACAAAGAGAAUUAAUAUCGGGAGGAUGUAAAUGAGAGUGUUAUUUAACACAAGAGAAGGAUUAUGUUGCAUCUGGUUUUCUUUGAGCCUCUGCCGGAGCUUUGGAAGCGGGCUGGGCCUUUUCCUGUGCUGUGAAUUCCCAAUCUAGCUCAGGUUCCCAGGGAGCGGUUCAGUGGACUCUCGGAUCUCUUUUCCUGCGUACACCUGCCCUAAACUCGCUGUCUGAGCAUGGAGACGAGAGGCCUUUCCCAAGGCGCAGAAGGAUGAAAUAUGGAAGAGAACUUUGAACUCCAAGAGGGCAGGUGCUUAUCAAGAGGACAAGCUAAUCAAGAGUCCUCUUAAGGAGUUCCCCAUUGUGGCUCAGGGGUGAUGAACCCAACUAGGAACCAUGAGGAUGUGGGUUUGAUCCCUAGCCUCGCUCAUUGGGUUAAGGAUCCAGCAUUGUCAUGAGAUGCGGUGUGGGUGGCAGAGGCAGUUUGGAUCCUGUGUUGCUGUGGCUGUGGUGUAGGCCGAUAGUUGCAGCUCCGAUUUGACUCCUAGCCUGGGAAUUUCCAUAUGCCUCUGCAGUGGCCCUAAAAAGCCAAAAAAAAAAAAAAAAAAAAAAAAAAAAAAAAAAAGAGUCACCAUAGGAUGGGAAGUAACUACACGGCAGAGUUGCAUGUUUCUGCAGCUGUCAGGGAGGUGGCCUGACUGCAGCCAGGGACAUCAGAGAUCUGUUCCUGGUUCCUGGGCAGUCCUCUUGUGUCCAUGCUGUGUGGUGUCCUGUGUCCCAGAUUCCAGAACAGUGGGGGAGACCGACUGACUCUGAAGUGGUUGGCAGCACCCAAUCCCCAAGGCUUUCUGCUGCUCUCUCUGUGAACCUGGCCAUGUUACUUCAGCCCCUGUGGUUCUCAGGCUCCUCAUCUGUAAAAUGGGAGCACUGACAUCUACCUCACAGAAUAAAGAAUGACUAACGAAUCUGACUAGGAACCAUGAGGUUUCGGGUUUGAUCCCUGGCCUCGCUCAGUGGGUUAAGGAUCCGGCGUUGAGCUGUGGUGUAGGUCGCAGAGGCAGCUAGGAUCUGGCAUUGCUGUGGCUCUGGUGUAAGCCAGCAGCUGUAGCUCCGAUUAGACCCCUAGCCUGGGAACCUCCAUAUGCCCAGGUGUGGCCCU